rnacentral:rRNA from 1 species
CCUACGGGAGGCAGCAGUGGGGAAUAUUGGACAAUGGGGGGAACCCUGAUCCAGCCAUGCCGCGUGUGUGAAGAAGGCCCUCGGGUUGUAAAGCACUUUCAGUGAGGAAGAACGCCUGGUGGUUAAUACCCAUCAGGAAAGACAUCACUCACAGAAGAAGCACCGGCUAACUCCGUGCCAGCAGCCGCGGUAAUACGGGGGGUGCGAGCGUUAAUCGGAAUUACUGGGCGUAAAGCGCGCGUAGGUGGCUUGAUAAGCCGGUUGUGAAAGCCCCGGGCUCAACCUGGGAACGGCAUCCGGAACUGUCAAGCUAGAGUGCAGGAGAGGAAGGUAGAAUUCCCGGUGUAGCGGUGAAAUGCGUAGCGAUCGGGAGGAAUACCAGUGGCGAAGGCGGCCUUCUGGACUGACACUGACACUGAGGUGCGAAAGCGUGGGUAGCAAACAGGAUUAGAUACCCCAGUAGUC